rnacentral:rRNA from 1 species
UACGGAGGGUGCAAGCGUUAUCCGGAUUCACUGGGCUUAAAGGGUGUGUAGGCGGGCCGAUAAGUCAGGGGUGAAAUCCCCGAGCUUAACUUGGGAACUGCCAUUGAUACUAUUUGUCUUGAAUGUCGUGGAGGUUAGCGGAAUAUGUCAUGUAGCGGUGAAAUGCUUAGAUAUGACAUAGAACACCUAUUGCGAAGGCAGCUAACUACGCGAAUAUUGACGCUGAGGCACGAAAGCGUGGGGAGCAAACAGG